rnacentral:rRNA from 1 species
AUUGAACGCUGGCGGCAGGCCUAACACAUGCAAGUCGAGCGGAUGAAGGGAGCUUGCUCCUGGAUUCAGCGGUGGACGGGUGAGUAAUGCCUAGGAAUCUGCCUGGUAGUGGGGGAUAACGUCCGGAAACGGGCGCUAAUACCGCAUACGUCCUGAGGGAGAAAGUGGGGGAUCUUCGGACCUCAGGCUAUCAGAUGACCCUAGGUCGGAUUGGCUAGUUGGUGGGGUAAAGGCCUACCAAGGCGACGAUCCGUAACUGGUCUGAGAGGAUGAUCAGUCACACUGGAACUGAGACACGGUCCAGACUCCUACGGGAGGCAGCAGUGGGGAAUAUUGGACAAGGGGCGAAAGCCUGAUCCAGCCAUGCCGCGUGUGUGAAGAAGGUCUUCGGAUUGUAAGCACUUUAAGUUGGGAGGAAGGGCAGUAAGUUAAUACCUUGCUGUUUUGACGUUACCAACAGAAUAAGCACCGGCUAACUUCGUG